rnacentral:lncRNA from 1 species
CCCUCUAGACACCUCUAAAUUUCAACCGUAGAAGUUUCUUCGAUUUCACAAAACAAUCAAGAGUAUCAGCCUUAACUUUAUUGCAAAAAUCUAAUUCACCAAUACAAACACUGACUUUCAACAAUGAUUGCAAAAAGUCCUCCCAAAUCCUAUGAACCCAAUUCUAGACCUUUCAAAGGAGCUUGAAGCUAGCUCUCCGAUCCCAAAAUCUUGAUCUUCAAAUGCCUCUUUUCCUUAUCCUCUCCUCCCUUUUAACUCCAUGUGGUCUCCUUU